rnacentral:rRNA from 1 species
UACGAAGGGGGGCUAGCGUUGUUCGGAAUUACUGGGCGUAAAGCGCGCGCAGGCGGUUUUUUCAAGUCAGUGGUGAAAGCCCGGAGCUCAACUCCGGAAAUGCCAUUGAAACUGUAAAAACUUGAGGACGAGAGAGGUGAGUGGAAUUCCCCAGUGUAGAGGUGAAAUUCGUAGAUAUUGGGAAGAACACCGGUGGCGAAGGCGGCUCACUGGCUCGUUUCUGACGCUCAGGCGCGAUAGCGUGGGGGAUCAAACAGGG